rnacentral:rRNA from 1 species
UGGCUCAGAACGAACGCUGGCGGCAGGCUUAACACAUGCAAGUCGAGCGCUGUAGCAAUACAGAGCGGCGCACGGGUGAGUAACACGUGGGAACGUGCCCUUUGGUUCGGAAUAACCCAGGGAAACUUGGGCUAAUACCGGAUAAGCCCUUACGGGGAAAGAUUUAUCGCCAUUGGAGCGGCCCGCGUCUGAUUAGCUAGUUGGUGAGGUAAUGGCUCACCAAGGGGGCGAUCAGUAGCUGGUUUGAGAGAACGACCAGCCACACUGGGACUGAGACACGGCCCAAGCUCCUACGGGAGGCAGCAGUGG